GUAGGUGGUUUAAUAAGCGAAUAGUGAAAUCUGGUGGCUCAACCAUUCAGACUAUUAUUCGAACUGUUAAACUCGAGAGCAGAAGAGGUAGCNUGGAAUUUCUAGUGUAGGAGUGAAAUCCGUAGAUAUUAGAAGGAACACCGAUGGCGUAGGCAGGCUACUGGGCUGUUUCUGACACUGAGGCACGAAAGCGUGGGGAGCGAACCGGAUUAGAUACCCGGGUAGUCCACGCCGUAAACGAUGGAUACUAGCUGUUUGGGGUAUCGACCCCCUGAGUAGCGAAGCUAACGCGUUAAGUAUCCCGCCUGUGGAGUACGAUCGCAAGAUUAAAACAUAAAGGAAUUGACGGGGACCCGCACAAGCGGUGGAUCAUGUUCUUUAAUUCGAUGAUAACCGAUAAACCUUACCAGGUCUUGACAUCCUUGGAAUCUUUCAGAAAUGAGAGAGUGCUUUUUAAGAGCCAAGUGACAGGUGAUGCAUGGCCGUCGUCAGCUCGUGUCGUGAGAUGUUUGGUUAAGUCCAUCAACGAGCGCAACCCUUGUCAGUAGUUGUAUUUUUCUACUGAGACUGCCCCGGUAACGGGGAGGAAGGAGGGGAUGACGUCAGGUCAGUAUUUCCCUUACGUCCUGGGCUAGAAACGUGAUACAAUGGCUAGUACAAUGCGCAGCGAAG
rnacentral:rRNA from 1 species